AGGAUGAACGCUGGCGGCGUGCUUAACGCAUGCAAGUCGUGGGGGCCCGAGGCGCAAGCCUUGGGCAACCGGCGAACGGGUGCGUAACACGUGAGCAACCUACCCAGGUGUGGGGGAUAGCCGUCCCAACGGACGGGUAAUACCGCAUACGCUCAACACGAGGCAUUUCGAGUUGAGGAAACCUUCGGGGCACCAUGAGGGGCUCGCGGCCUAUCAGCUAGUUGGCGAGGUAACGGCUCACCAAGGCUACGACGGGGUAGCUGGUCUGAGAGGAUGACCAGCCACAUUGGGACUGAGAAACGGCCCAGACUCCUACGGGA
rnacentral:rRNA from 1 species